rnacentral:lncRNA from 1 species
UGCAUUGGUACUGGGUAUUAAAUUUGUAUUAAAAUCGAACAUCGAUUAUAUUCGAUUACCUAAAUUUGCUUAGUAUUUUUUUAUAUGUUUAGUUUAAGGAUAUUCAAAUGAACUAAAAUAAUUUUUUUAUUAAAAUUAAAUAUCUCUUCGUAUCUCCCUUUAUUAUUCACAAAUUUGAGUUUUUAAGACAACCAAAACAUAUAUGCUCUCUCUCAUCAAAUCAAUGUGAAGAAUUUUUUUAAUUCUAAAGGCAAAAGAUUAGGAAAAUUGAUAGAAAGAAAAAAUAAAACAAAUUAAGACUUUUUAAAUAUAUUCAUAUGUGUACUAGUUCUAUGAAUUGUUUUCAUGUAAAACAAGUGCAAUUUAAAUUAUUUAAAUUAUUUUGAUGCAUUUACCCUUAAAAUAACUCGUCCAUCAAUUUAGCUUCACUUGUUUUACUUUCGUGGGAUAUACAAUCAUCUUUACUUAAUUAAAAUAAUAAUAAAAAUUAUAUUUUUAGAAUUGGUAAUAUAAUUAAGAAUAUAUGUUACUGCCAAUAUUAUAAUUAGAUUAUUCAAGAAUGUCACCGAUUUUAAACUAUAUACUUCCUCCGAGAGUGAUGAAAAUAUGUUGUAAUUAAUAAUGAGAGUGUUGAAAAGGUGAAAAGCAAGGGUAAAUGGAAUAUUAUAAGUAAGUAGUAAGGUAUAAUUCAUAUGAAGUUUUUUUGUGAACGUCCUAAAAAUAAAAUAUAAUAUUAUUAAGAUGAAAAUGGACUGACGGGGUACAUUUUUAGUUGAACUCAUUUUUUAUUUUAUAGUUGGAGAUGAAAUGUAAUAUUAUUAAGAUGAAAAUAAAUUUAUUUUAUAGUUGGAGACUACAAAAUGACCAACAUCUUAACAACACAUUUUUUAUCCAAUGAUCAUUAUUAUUUAAUUAAAAUUUUCACCAAAAUAUCUAUAUAUUUUUUCUUUCAAUGUUUCUAUUAGUCUAGAAAGAGUUUUGAAACAUUUAAAUGUUGUUUAUUGAUUCGUAUUUUACAACAUAGUUGUUGGGAGUUAAUUGGUUGUAAAUCCACAAACUAAUAAUGAAUUUCGCUAUUUUACUAACUCUACAAAAUUGCAGAGUAAAAAUGCAUGAACUUUAGUUCAUUAUGAAAUUUACCCUGAAUUUCAAUUUAUCCCAAAUAAAAACUGACAUAGAGAAAUUAAAUUUGAUAUAAUAUCACAUACUCCUUCCGUCUCACUAAAGAUGAUUCGUUUUCCAUUUUGAAUCGUCCUAUUAAAAAUGACUCAUUUCCAUAAAAGACAAUAUUUAACUCUUGAAAAGUUGUGG